UUUUAUAACUCUUGGGCUCUAGGCACUUUACAAUUUACAUUCUCUCUUAUCUCUCCUUCUAUCUGUUCUCAAACAUGGCUACCGAAACCCUAGAUGCUCCCAAACCUCAACCACUGGCUCCCAAUGGAGAUGCUCCGACCAAAGCAGAAGCUGACCAACACGAAAUUCAAGAUGAAGAACAGCAACACGACAAGGAAAUUUCUGAUGACCUUCCCGAGCAGAAAAACUGUGGCCAAUUAGAAGAGAAUGUGGAUCGUGAAGAAGAUGCAGAAGAAGAUGAAGAUGAAGAUGAAGAGGGUGAGAAGAAAGAAAAUGAUGUUGUUACACCAGUAAAGAGUGCAAGUGGGGGUAGACCUACCAGAGAAAGGAAAUCAGUGGAAAGGUACACUGUGUCCUCUCCACACAAGUUCCCUGGUUAUGCUGCUACUAAAACUAUCUCAAUCGACCAGGGCAAUGGCACUCAGCUUAAGGACAUCCCAAACGUGGCUUUCAAGCUAUCAAAAAGAAAAGUCGAUGAUAACUUGCGUAGCCUUCAUAGUAUACUGUUUGGGAAGAAAGCAAAGGCACACACUUUAAAGAGAAACAUAGGCAUGUUUUCUGGCUAUGUGUGGGCAGAAAAUGAGGAAAAACAGAGGGCCAAGGUAAAAGAGAGGCUUGACAAAUGUGUGAAAGAAAAAUUGAUUGACUUCUGUGAUGUGCUCAAUCUUCAAAUAAACAAGUCCUCUUUGAAGAAGGAGGAACUGUCUGCAAAGCUGUUGGAGUUUUUGGAAUCCCCUCAUGCUACAACCGAUGUCUUGCUUGCUGAUAAAGAAAAGAAAGGUAAAAAGCGUGCAAAAAAGAAAACUCCAAGAAAAUCUUCUGGUGGUGCUGCUGAAAACCCUUCGAAGAAGCAAAAGCAAAGUUCAAAAAAUGGGAAAAAGCGAAAGCAGUCUUCUGACAGUGAGGAAAAUGAUACAACCGAACCUUCAGAUGCAACAAACAGUUCUCAGGAAGAUGAGGAUGAUGGUGAAAAUGUUUCAGUCCCAAAAAGUGAAAGUGACUGUGAGGUUCAGGAAAGUCAAUCUGAUGAAGAGGAAAAUAAAAAUACUUCAGAGAAAACUGUGAACGAGGAUCACUCUACACCAGCCAAGAAAACCUCUCCUGAAAAGGUUGCCAAGAGCAAUGACAAAAUGCCAAAAAAAUCAACUUCUGCGUCCAAGAGACAGAAAACUGAUGGUGAAAGCAGGGAGAGUAAGCAAAAGAUUGCAAACGAAAAUGAAACAGGCAAAUCUUCAAAGUCAGUGUCUAAGGAUCAAGCCAGUAAUGGCAGGACAAGGCAACAUCAGUAAGAAAGCAAAUGCAGAACCUACUAAGGAGGAUAUGCAUGCAGUGGUUGUUAAUAUGUUGAAGGAAGUUGAUUUCAACACUGCAACUUUAUCUGAUAUCCUCAAGAAACUUGGUACUCAUUUUGGAUUGGAUUUAAUGCAUAGAAAAGCUGAGGUAAAAGAUAUAAUUACAGAUGUAAUCAAUAACAUGUCUGACGAGGAAAAUGAAAAUGGAGAUGAUGAAGAUGAAGAUAAUGCAUGAUUAUACCUCAGAAAAUAAUCUUAAUUUUGUGCAGAAAUCACAUGCAUGUGGUUUAUUUUACUGCUGGCUUUGCUGAUCUUAGGCUUUAGUAGAUUGUAUUUUGUGAUCCGUUUUCAUUAGUUAGGUUGAAUUGUCCUCGAGUUAGGCUAGAUUUACUCCCUUUCCUUGUGUUUAUUAUGUAACCUGAUAUUAUAUAUACUAUAUUGUUAAAUUAUUUUAAAA